rnacentral:rRNA from 1 species
UCCGUAGGGGGCAAGCGUUGUCCGGAUUUAUUGGGCGUAAAGAGCGUGUAGGCGGUCAGGUAGGUCGGUUGUGAAAACUGGAGGCUCAACCUUCAGAGGUCGACCGAAACCCCCUGGCUAGAGUCCGGGAGAGGAGAGUGGAAUUCCUGGUGUAGCGGUGAAAUGCGCAGAUAUCAGGAAGAACACCCGUGGCGAAAGCGGCUCUCUGGAACGGUACUGACGCUGAGACGCGAAAGCGUGGGGAGCGAACAGG